ensembl:lncRNA
GGGAAAGAGAGGAAAGAGAGAGAUAGAGAAUGGGUACAUUAAUUUUUUUUUGGUUUCAUAUAUUGUUGGUUUCAGCUCUGUGUUGUCAAAGGCUUUCAUGACCGGGAUCACAGGGUUGUUGUAUGUCUUUCGGGCUGUGUGGCCAUGUUCCAGAAGUAUUCUCUCCUGACUUUUCACCCACAUCUAUGGCAGGCAUCCUCCUUUUCUAAACAUUGUUCAGUACUGUGGAUAGAUCCUAUAACAUGUUUUCACUAAACCCAGGGUAGUGUUUUAAAGAUCCAUUAUUCCAAAUCAAUUAACUUCUCCAAAGAAAUUGAGCUACCAAUCUUCCAUAGAAGAGCUGGACAAAAGGCAGUACUGGGCCAAAUGUUUAUCUCAAGGAUGUUUUUGCUUCUCUCCCCUGCUCCAGAAUAACCGGAAAAACUGAUUUUUGGCCUCCAAAGAUCCUGGGAUAUUCUAGAUUCAAUAACUUAUGUUUGAUUUUAAGCUCUAGUGUACUGUUUAACAUCAAAAACACUAAUUUUUGAGAGGGAGAAUUAAAUUUCCAAACAUUAUGAUAUGUUUGUAUUUUUUGGCAAUCCAUGAGGUCCCAAGAGUGUCUCAAGUUUAAAAAGGAAAUGCUACAGUUUCCCACCCAUUGUAUGAGUUGUACACAGACCUUGAUGCCUAUUAGAAGCCUUGAUUUUAGAAUUUUUUAGAGAUUCCAGAAAAAUAAUUACUGAAAGUUAGAAACAUUUUAACAGUUCACAAGUCUUUUCUAGCUAGCAGCUUAUGCAGCUGUUUCUGAUCCACAUGGAUUUUGGCUAAACUCAAUAUUCAUUUUACUUCUUUCUCAAAUGCUAGCAAUUGGCACAGAGAGAGACUAUACUAUAUACCAUUUGUAUCUGCUAUUUGGAAAUUUUCAGUAAGGCAUACACAGAGGACAUCUACAGACACCUAUAUUUAGUAGAGCAUUUAUAUAUGUUGCCGGAUUGACGUUGAUGUAUUUCCUUAUGAUCAGAAGGAAAUAAAUGUUCAUCUGUUGGCACCUACGAUAUUUAAAAUCUUGUUUCAUUUUAGGUUCAACACAAAGUGGGCCAAAAACAUCAAGUUUACUGUUUGGUGCCAAACUUGUAUAAAAAUGCUAUGGAUGCCCACCAAAUGCGAAUGCAAUUGCACAAUUCCAGCAUUUAAAACCAAACAAAUAAAAAGACAAAUAUAAAAAUAAAAUAAAAGGAAAACAGUCUGCUUGGAAAUAGUGAUGAGGAGAGAAGAAUAAACCCACCUUUUGAUGUCCUCUUACUGCUGGCAAACUGGCACAUAAGUUGAAAGGACUCCUCACAAUAAGGUAGGUGAGACAAGCAUGGCAAAAUUGGGAGCUAUUGAUAAGUUUUAUCUAUUAAUAGUUAGUGAUGAGAGGAUCAUGGGGAGGAGGGAGACCAAUAGCAAGAUGUAUAAUAAGAUAGUGUGAUAGUCCAGCUGCAAUGUCAGUCUUGCUGCCUCAUGUGAUAAAGUCUUAAGCAUGACUAAAUCUGGAUCCAACCUGCAUGUCUAGAUGGCUCAUUGAUAUGUGCCAAAAAAGC